rnacentral:lncRNA from 1 species
AAAAAUAAUACCAAAAAUUCUCUCCUAAGAAAAUGAGGAAAAGUUUCCAAAUUUACUCACAACCCAUAUGGGCUCAAUCUUCUUCCUUUUGGGCUUGGACUUGAAUCAUGAAAUAUGUGUAGCACUUUGCCCAUUCUUCUCCAUAAUUCUUGACUCGUUCUUGGGCUCUUCUUCUAUUAUAAGCAUCUUCUUGAUUUCAUUGAAGCCUGU